rnacentral:misc_RNA from 1 species
GUGAAUCAUCGAAUCUUUGAACGCAAAUUGCACUAUCUUCGGAGAGGAUGCCUGUUUGAGGGUCAGCCUAAAAAAAAAAUCGACAUAGGCGCUGUCUCGCGGUGACAGUCGUCGGAAAGUGGGGCAUCUUAAACCUUUGGGUUUUAAGAGGCUUAAAAUUUGCUUUACGAUUCCACGAACGUAUAUAAGAUAUACUUCUUAUACGUUUAAAGUAUCGAUCAUUAUUAGACGUGGCCGUGGCAUCGGAUCAC